UAAAGUUGUGUGUCUGUACAGUGUUAAUAAAGUUGUGUGUUUGUACAGUGAUAAUAAAGUUGUGUGUUUGUACAGUGUUAAUAAAGUUGUGUUUGUACAGUGAUAAUAAAGUUGUGUGUUUGUACAGUGUUAAUAAAGUUGUGUGUUUGUACAGUGUUAAUAAAGUUGUGUUUGUACAGUGAUAAUAAAGUUUUGUGUUUGUACAGUGAUAAUAAAGUUGUGUGUUUGUACAGUGUUAAUAAAGUUGUGUUUGUACAGUGUUAAUAAAGUUGUGUGUUUGUACAGUGUUAAUAAAGUUGUGUGUUUGUACAGUGUUAAUAAAGUUGUGUUUGUACAGUGUUAAUAAAGUUGUGUGUUUGUACAGUGUUAAUAAAGUUGUGUUUGUACAGUGUUAAUAAAGUUGUGUGUUUGUACAGUGUUAAUAAAGUUGUGUGUUUGUACAGUGUUAAUAAAGUUGUGUUUGUACAGUGUUAAUAAAGUUUUGUGUUUGUACAGUGAUAAUAAAGUUGUGUGUUUGUACAGUGUUAAUAAAGUUGUGUUUGUACAGUGAUAAUAAAGUUGUGUGUUUGUACAGUGUUAAUAAAGUUUUGUGUUUGUACAGUGUUAAUAAAGUUGUGUGUUUGUACAGUGUUAAUAAAGUUGUGUUUGUACAGUGUUAAUAAAGUUGUGUGUUUGUACAGUGAUAAUAAAGUUGUGUUUGUACAGUGUUAAUAAAGUUGUGUGUUUGUACAGUGUUAAUAAAGUUUUGUGUUUGUACAGUGUUAAUAAAGUUGUGUGUUUGUACAGUGAUAAUAAAGUUGUGUGUUUGUACAGUGUUAAUAAAGUUGUGUGUUUGUACAGUGUUAAUAAAGUUGUGUUUGUACAGUGUUAAUAAAGUUGUGUGUUUGUACAGUGAUAAUAAAGUUUUGUGUUUGUACAGUGUUAAUAAAGUUGUGUUUGUACAGUGAUAAUAAAGUUGUGUGUUUGUACAGUGUUAAUAAAGUUGUGUGUUUGUACAGUGUUAAUAAAGUUCUGUUUGUACAGUGAUAAUAAAGUUGUGUGUUUGUACAGUGUUAAUAAAGUUGUGUGUUUGUACAGUGUUAAUAAAGUUGUGUUUGUACAGUGUUAAUAAAGUUGUGUGUUUGUACAGUGUUAAUAAAGUUGUGUGUUUGUACAGUGAUAAUAAAGUUGUGUUUGUACAGUGUUAAUAAAGUUGUGUGUUUGUACAGUGUUAAUAAAGUUUUGUGUUUGUACAGUGUUAAUAAAGUUGUGUGUUUGUACAGUGAUAAUAAAGUUGUGUGUUUGUACAGUGUUAAUAAAGUUGUGUGUUUGUACAGUGUUAAUAAAGUUGUGUUUGUACAGUGUUAAUAAAGUUGUGUGUUUGUACAGUGAUAAUAAAGUUGUGUGUUUGUACAGUGAUAAUAAAGUUGUGUGUUUGUACAGUGUUAAUAAAGUUGUGUUUGUACAGUGUUAAUAAAGUUGUGUUUGUACAGUGUUAAUAAAGUUUUGUGUUUGUACAGUGUUAAUAAAGUUGUGUGUUUGUACAGUGAUAAUAAAGUUGUGUGUUUGUACAGUGAUAAUAAAGUUGUGUUUGUACAGUGUUAAUAAAGUUGUGUUUGUACAGUGUUAAUAAAGUUGUGUUUGUACAGUGAUAAUAAAGUUGUGUUUGUACAGUGUUAAUAAAGUUGUGUGUUUGUACAGUGUUAAUAAAGUUGUGUGUUUGUACAGUGUUAAUAAAGUUGUGUGUUUGUACAGUGAUAAUAAAGUUGUGUUUGUACAGUGUUAAUAAAGU